rnacentral:tRNA from 1 species
CGGGCUGUGGCGCAGUUUGGUAGCGCGCCUGCUUUGGGAGCAGGAUGCCGCGGGUUCAAAUCCCGCCAGCCCGA